AGAAUCUUGAUUGAGAAACUCCAUUAUUAUCAACUAAGUUAGAGAAGAAAGCAGUUGACAGUGUCAUAAUUUUUAAGUGAAUUUAAAACAUUCCUCUUCUCAGAAGAUGGAAAGUGUUUGCAUAAUUCAAUAGGAAACUUAGAGGCAGUG
rnacentral:lncRNA from 1 species